UACGGAGGGUGCAAGCGUUAUCCGGAUUUACUGGGUUUAAAGGGUGCGUAGGCGGGCUUUUAAGUCAGCGGUGAAAUCUCCGGGCUCAACCCGGAAAUUGCCGUUGAUACUAUUAGCCUUGAAUUAAGUUGAGGUGGGCGGAAUAAGUCAUGUAGCGGUGAAAUGCUUAGAUAUGACUUAGAACACCGAUUGCGAAGGCAGCUCGCUAAACUUAUAUUGACGCUGAGGCACGAAAGCGGGGGGAUCAAACAGG
rnacentral:rRNA from 1 species